ensembl:misc_RNA
CCCAGGCUUAGAAUAGAUAUUGGGGGUAGGAGCCACCUCUGGAACACCAGAAUAACCCCAUUUGGUCAUCUACAACCUCUGUUCUCCUAAGCU